GAUUAUAUUAGACGCACAAGCAAGUGGGCUGGUGGAGGAAUAUACAUAUUUACACGCAUCACGCACGCAGGCCCGGAAUUGGAGACGACAGAUACCGAAACACAGACACAGACGGCAUCUUUAAUUUGUGGAUAAAUCGCGUUUCGUCAGUUAUUGGUGAUGUCAUUCCACUUUUAUUUAUUUAAUUCUGCCGUUAUGUUAGGCUAGAUCUUUU
rnacentral:lncRNA from 1 species